rnacentral:rRNA from 1 species
UACGAAGGGGGCUAGCGUUGCUCGGAAUCACUGGGCGUAAAGCGCACGUAGGCGGCUUUCUAAGUCAGGGGUGAAAUCCUGGAGCUCAACUCCAGAACUGCCUUUGAUACUGGAGAGCUUGAGUCCGGGAGAGGUGAGUGGAACUCCGAGUGUAGAGGUGAAAUUUGUUGAUAUCUUGAAGACUGAUAAAGGCGAAAGCAACCUUUUAUCUAAUAACUGACGUUGAGGGACGAAGGCUCGGGUCACGAACAGG